GCUUCAACCAGUUACAAGUGAACGCCUCAUGAAAUGGCUUACACCCACAUACCCGGUAAAUUACACACUUUGAUGUUCUGCUCCUUCUCCUGACGGUCACGGUAACGAUGUCUGCGCCUCCGUUUCUGUGGAUGUCCAGCGUGAGACACAACUUGAAUCCAACCAGACUGAACACUGACUCCAGGGACGGACGAGCCUGAAGGACACAGCUGUGAUGACCAAUUGACCAUGUUUUGUCUCUUAUGGCAAAGCAGAAAUAUUAAACACUGGGUUCUUAUCUAAAGUGUAUCAAAUCAGAAAGCAAAAGAUACACAUUGUUGUUAUAAGUUUUUAUUAUUUUAACCAACCAUAAUGAAGAUAGAAAUGAAUUCUUAUCCAUGCCACUUAGCAAUGACUGCCACCACCAAACAGUUGCAGGCCAUCUUUAUUUAAGGGAGGAAUUUAGAAGUGUUGUGUAGCUUCUGAUGAUGAUGCAGUCGUCCACGUGUUGACCACCAUGUUGCUGCUGACGACGUCAGGUGCUGCAGUUCCUCAUCUAUAAAGAGAAGAAACGCACUGUUAAAGAAUGUUUUGAGUUGUGUAUGAAGCACAACAGAUUUCAGAUAGAACCGUUGUACUGUGGUCUGGGUUUGUAUCCUAAUGGUUAAAUGCACAUAUUUUAAGUCGCUUUUGAUAAAAGUACUGAAAGAAAUACAACAUUGUAAAAAUAGAUAAAAUGUCUUUCUACCUCAUCUGUAAUAUUCAAGGUGAUAAUCUCCCACAGAGCUAUUGAUAACAGUCCACAUCAAGUCUCUCCACUUCCCUCAGUGUGAAAACAUAAUUAUAUAAUUAAUUUGAGAACUGUUUACAACACUGAUGUGUGGAGAUUUAAAUCAUAUCUAAACUGUCUAAUUCACUGUAAAACUCCAUGACAUUCGCAGGCCAUCUGUAGUUAAGGGAGCAACGUAUGGAGUGAUGUGUAGAGGGCAGAAACUUGGACUAUGGGCAGAGAAGGUCUCUGGUUCGUCUCCGGUUCGACUCCACGGAGAGACAACAAAAGACAAACCUGGAUUGAUCUGUCCAAAAAUCCAAGAGUCUCCCUACCCUCUCUAGUGCCCCUGAGCAAGGCACCUCACUCCCCCAACAUCUGCUCCGUGAGCGCCGUACAUGGUCGCUCACUGCUCUGUGUGUCCUGCACCAGAUGGGUAAAAAGCAGAGAUUAAAUUUCCCUACCUGCAUGAGUGUGCCUUUGCAUGUCUGUGCAUUUGUUUGGGACGAAUAAAUGGAUCUUAAUCUUAAUCUUUUAAUCUUAAUCAGUUGUCUUCCAGUUGACCAGCAUGAAGCUGCAAAUCUCCACCAUGUUGCUGCUGAGGACAUCAGGAGCUGCAUUAAUGAGGAGCAGAAGCGCACUGUUAUGAAUGUUUUGUGUUGUGUAUGAAGCACCACAUAUUUCAGAUAGAACCGAUGUACUGGGGUCUGGGUUUGUAUACUAAUGGUUAAAUGCACAUACUUUAAAUCGCUUUUGAUAAAA